CCUACGGGUGGCAGCAGUGGGGAAUAUUGCGCAAUGGGCGAAAGCCUGACGCAGCGACGCCGCGUGAGGGAUGAAGGUCUUCGGAUCGUAAACCGCUGUCAGCAGGGAAGAACGGUCACUGUGCUAAUCAGCAGUGAAUUGACGGUACCUUCAAAGGAAGCACCGGCUAACUCCGUGCCAGCAGCCGCGGUAAUACGGAGGGUGCGAGCGUUAAUCGGAAUUACUGGGCGUAAAGCGCUCGUAGGCGGUAUUGCAAGUCAAGGGUGAAAUCCCCGCGCUCAACGUGGGAACUGCCUUGGAAACUGGCAAACUGGAGUGUGUGAGAGGAUAGUGGAAUUCCAGGUGUAGGAGUGAAAUGCGUAGAUAUAUGGAGGAACAUCAGGGGCGAAGGCGACUAUCUGGCACAUAACUGACGCUGAGGAGCGAAAGCGUGGGUAGCAAACAGGAUUAGAUACCCGGGUAGUC
rnacentral:rRNA from 1 species